rnacentral:rRNA from 1 species
UACGUAAAAGACUAGUGUUAUUCAUCUUUAAUAGGUUUACAGGGUACCUAGACGGUAAAUUUGAUCUUAAACAAGAUAUCUUUUUACUAGAGUUUUAUAUGAGGAGGUGGUGAUUUGUGGAGUAGAUGUUAGAAAUUCUUUGAUCCCAUAACGACUGGUAAAGGCGAAAGCAACCUUUUAUGUAAUAACUGACGUUGAGGGACGAAGGCUCGGGUCGCGAACAGG